rnacentral:misc_RNA from 1 species
AACGCACCUUGCGCUCCUUGGUAUUCCGAGGAGCAUGCCUGUUUGAGUGUCAUUAAAUUCUCAACCUUAUCAGUUUUUUUUAUUAAAUUGGUUCAAGGCUUGGAUUUUGGGAGUUGCAGGCUUCUCUUUUGAAGUCAGCUCUUCUUAAAUGUAUUAGUGGAGACUUGUAACCGUCGCCUUGGUGUGAUAAUUAUCUGCGCCUUGGUGUAUUGGUGACUAGUAAUGUCUUUGCUUAUAACAGUCCAUUAGAUUGGACAAUCACUUUAUGACUUUUGACCUCAAAUCAGGUAGGACUACCCGCUGAACUUAA